rnacentral:sRNA from 1 species
ACCAGGUGUGCUGGUGCACACCUCUAAUCCCAGCUGCUUGGGAGGCUGAGGCAGGAGGAUCGCAAGUUCAAACCAGCCCUGGCAACUUAGUGAGACCCUGUCUCAA